GUCUUUGGCCACACCACCCUGAAUGCACCUGAUCUCAGAAGCUAAGCAGGGUUGGGCCUGGUCACUUCAUGCGUGGGAAUGUCUGGUACUAUAGAUU
ensembl:rRNA 5S_rRNA 5S ribosomal RNA